GACGAACGCUGGCGGCGUGCCUAAUACAUGCAAGUCGAACGAACCGCGACUAGGUGCUUGCACUUGGUCAAGGUGAGUGGCGAACGGGUGAGUAACACGUGGGUAACCUACCUCAUAGUGGGGGAUAACAGUCGGAAACGACUGCUAAUACCGCAUAGGACAUAGGAUCACAUGAUCCAGUGAGGAAAGGUGGCGCAAGCUAUCGCUAAGAGAUGGACCCGCGGUGCAUUAGCUAGUUGGUAGGGUAAAGGCCUACCAAGGCGAUGAUGCAUAGCCGACCUGAGAGGGUGAUCGGCCACAUUGGGACUGAGACAAGGCCCAAACUCCUACGGGAGGCAGCAGUAGGGAAUCUUCCGCAAUGGACGCAAGUCUGACGGAGCAACGCCGCGUGAGUGAAGAAGGUCUUCGGAUCGUAAAGCUCUGUUGUUAGAGAAGAACAGCGCAUAGAGUAACUGUUAUGCGUGUGACGGUAUCUAACCAGAAAGCCACGGCUAACUACGUG
rnacentral:rRNA from 1 species